rnacentral:misc_RNA from 1 species
AACGCACAUUGCGCCCCCUGGUAUUCCGGGGGGCACGCCUGUCCGAGCGCCAUCACACCCCCCAAGCUCUGCUUGAUGUUGGGCGAUGCGCAGCACGCCCCAAACCUAUGGGCGCCCCCGCCGACCGCUGAGCGUAGCAAAACGUUCGUUCCGCGCGUCGGUGGACGGCCGCCCCUAAACCCCCUUCUCAAGGUUUGGCCUCGGAUCAGGCGGGGAUACCCGCUGAACUUAA